AAAUCAUGGUGAGGGCACCUCCGUAGAGAGCCUUAUAUUUCCCAUGCUUCAUACAAUGACUCCAAUCUUGUUGGUAGAAGUUGGUAAUCUCACUCCUCAGCUU